rnacentral:rRNA from 1 species
AUUGAACGCUGGCGGCAGGCCUAACACAUGCAAGUCGAGCGGAUGAAGGGAGCUUGCUCCUGGAUUCAGCGGCGGACGGGUGAGUAAUGCCUAGGAAUCUGCCUGGUAGUGGGGGAUAACGUCCGGAAACGGGCGCUAAUACCGCAUACGUCCUGAGGGAGAAGGUGGGGGAUCUUCGGACCUCACGCUAUCAGAUGAGCCUAGGUCGGAUUAGCUAGUUGGUGGGGUAAAGGCCUACCAAGGCGACGAUCCGUAACUGGUCUGAGAGGAUGAUCAGUCACACUGGAACUGAGACACGGUCCAGACUCCUACGGGAGGCAGCAGUGGGGAAUAUUGGACAAAGGGCGAAAGCCUGAUCCAGCCAUGCCGCGUGUGUGAAGAAGGUCUUCGGAUUGUAAAGCACUUUAAGUUGGGAGGAAGGGCAGUAAGUUAAUACCUUGCUGUUUUGACGUUACCAACAGAAUAAGCACCGGCUAACUUCGUG